CGACGGCACCGCGCCUCUCACACUGCGGCCACAGUCCCCACACAGCCCUUUGUCCUGUGUUUCCAAACGGGAGCCAUGUGACAGGGCUGCGGGCCCACUGAGUUCCAGACGGAGCGGGAGGAGGCUUCCCUCCCUCUGUUUACCGUCAUCAUCGGGCCUCCAGCCCCCCGAGCGUGUCUUGGGCUGGAUCAAGUGUCUGUCAGGAACAGGCUUCUGCAGGUUCUCGAGUGUGAGGUGGGGACCUCGGGGUGGCGCUCUGUGAACUCAGGACGGUCCGCGCUUGGCUCCACGCCCAUCCGCAUCCACAGAGCAAAGCUGUGCCCUCCGGCCAGAACAGCAGACAGCAAGGCCCCACCCCUGCGACUCCCUGGGGCGAUUCCUGCCAACAACUGAAAGAAUUUGCUGGCGACGCCCUUUGCAGCCCCAGAUCAGGGCUGAAUCCGGCCCCUCUGCCUGUUCCAUAAAGUUUUAUUGACACCCA